AACGUAGGUGGCAAGCGUUAUCCGGAAUUACUGGGCGUAAAGGGUGUGCAGGCGGGAGGGGAAGUGGGGUAUGAAAUAUCCCAGCUUAACUGGGAGGGGUUAUGCCAGACUGCCUUUCUAGAGGACGAGAGAGGGGGGUGGAAUUCCGGGUGUAGUGGUGAAAUGCGUAGAUAUCGGGAAGAACACCCGUGGCGAAGGCGGCUCUCUGGGACGGUACUGACGCUGAGACGCGAAAGCGUGGGGAGCGAACAGG
rnacentral:rRNA from 1 species